rnacentral:rRNA from 1 species
GAUGAACGCUGGCGGCGUGCCUAAUACAUGCAAGUCGAGCGAACAGAUGAGGAGCUUGCUCCUCUGACGUUAGCGGCGGACGGGUGAGUAACACGUGGAUAACCUACCUAUAAGACUGGGAUAACUUCGGGAAACCGGAGCUAAUACCGGAUAAUAUAUUGAACCGCAUGGUUCAAUAGUGAAAGACGGUUUUGCUGUCACUUAUAGAUGGAUCCGCGCCGCAUUAGCUAGUUGGUAAGGUAACGGCUUACCAAGGCAACGAUGCGUAGCCGACCUGAGAGGGUGGUCGGCCACACUGGAACUGAGACACGGUCCAGACUCCUACGGGAGGCAGCAGUAGGGAAUCUUCCGCAAUGGGCGAAAGCCUGACGGAGCAACGCCGCGUGAGUGAUGAAGGUCUUCGGAUCGUAAAACUCUGUUAUUAGGGAUGAACAAAUGUGUAAGUAACUAUGCACGUCUUGACGGUACCUAAUCAGAAAGCCACGGCUAACUACGUG